UCAAUUGUAGUUGUAGCAGGUGCUGCAGUGGUUGUCGAAGUAGGUGCUGCAGUUGUAGGAGCUACGGUUGUCGUUGUUGGUGCUGCAGUUGUGGUUGUUGUAGGAGCUGCAUUUGUAGUUGUCGUCGUAGGUGCUGCAGUUGUAGGUGUUGUAGUUGUCGUAGUAGGUUCUUUUGUUGUGGUUGUCGUUGGAGCUUCAGUUGUAAUGGUCGUAAUAGGUGCUGCACUUGUGGUUAUCGGAGGAGCUUAAGUUGCGUGUGCUGCAGUCGUAGUGGUUGUAAGAGCUUCAGUUGUUGUAGUAGGAGCUGAAGUUAUUGUCGAAGUAGCUGCUGACGUUGUAGUGGGUGGGGAUAUAUUUGUUGUCGUAGAAGCUACAGUUGUUGUUGUAGGUGCUGCUGUUGUGGUUGUCGUAGGAGCUUCAGUUGUAGUGGUCGUAGGAGCUACAGUUGCUGCUGUAGGUGUUGCAGUGGUUUUAGUAGGUGUUGUAGUUGUUGUAGGAGCUACAGUUGUCAUUGUAGUAGUAGGUACUGCUGUUGUAAUGGUCGUAGUAGGUGUUGUGGUUGUCGAUGGAGCUUCAGUUGUCGUUCUAGGUGCUUCUGUUGUGGUCAUAGGAUAUACAGUUGUUGUAAUAGGAGCUGCAGUUGUCGUUGUCGUAGGAGCUGCAUUUGUAGUUGUCGUAGAAGGUGCUUCAGUUAUAGAAGUCGUAGGAGCUACAGUUGUUGUAGUAGAAGCUGCAGUGGUUGUCGAAUUAGGUGCUGCAGGUGUAGUGGUCCUAGGAGCUACAGUU
rnacentral:lncRNA from 1 species